rnacentral:piRNA from 1 species
UCAAUUGGAUAGUUGGUGGCUUCAUCUUC